CUGGAGCCAUGAACGUCAGCUGUGCAGUGGUGAGGGAGUCUCUCUGAGCUUGCAAGGGAAAGUGAGGGGUGUGGAACUGGAAAGAGGCAGCCAGCAUGCCCCACGCAGGGACAGGUGGAGGGACUCCUGCUUCAAAGGAACAGCAAAGGAGCUGUAGGGAUGGGCAUGAUGCCUAAAGCCAGCCUAGCCUGGACCACCCAAGUCCAGCCCUACUUGUCACAGAAGAAGCUUUGCAGGACAAAGCAGCAUUCCUGGAUUAGCUGAGCAAGGACCUGGCAAGGGAAGCCAGGCAGGAGCAGAGACAAUGACAGCAGAGCCGUGACAUCACCACCUAACCUCCAAUCAGAGAAGGGAUGCCCAGAACUUCAUCUCUUAGGGACCAGAAAUCUGAGCAGGGAGACACCUGCCUAGUUCUGCCCCACCGUGCCAUGAGCUCCACGCUCCUGUGCUGUGUGGCCCUUUGUCUCCUGGGAGCAGGCCCAGUGGAUUCUGGAGUCACCCAAACACCAAGACACCUGGUUAAAACAAGAGGACAGCAGGUGACACUGAGAUGUUCCCCUAUGUCUGGGCAUGACACUGUAUCUUGGUACCGACAGCCCCUGGGUCAGGGCCUCCAGUUCCUCAUUCAGUAUUACAGGGGGGAAGAGAAUGGAAAAGGAGACUUCCCAGGUCGAUUCAAAGGGCAACAGUUGGAUAACUACAGCUCUGAGCUGAACGUGAGUGUCCUGGAGCUGGUGGACUCCGCCCUGUAUUUCUGUGCCAGCAGCUUGGCACAGCCCUGCAUGAUCAGCAGCCUACAGAACAAAAACCUUCCUGCCCCAGCUCAGGAAGUGACAGCGACGGUGGUGGCUGCCAGACAGACAAACUCAGGCCCUCAUAUAUCAGACAGGCCUUCCCCUGACACUAUUCCUGCUGCUUCUAUAUGUAAUGUGUUUUAUGCUCACAGAAAUAAUGCAAAAUAA